rnacentral:rRNA from 1 species
CCUACGGGAGGCAGCAGUAGGGAAUCUUCCACAAUGGACGAAAGUCUGACGGAGCAACGCCGCGUGAACGAUGAAGGCCUUCGGGUCGUAAAGUUCUGUUGUCAGGGAAGAACAAGUACCGGAGUAACUGCCGGUACCUUGACGGUACCUGACCAGAAAGCCACGGCUAACUACGUGCCAGCAGCCGCGGUAAUACGUAGGUGGCAAGCGUUGUCCGGAAUUAUUGGGCGUAAAGCGCGCGCAGGCGGUUCCUUAAGUCUGAUGUGAAAGCCCCCGGCUCAACCGGGGAGGGUCAUUGGAAACUGGGGAACUUGAGUGCAGAAGAGGAGAGCGGAAUUCCACGUGUAGCGGUGAAAUGCGUAGAGAUGUGGAGGAACACCAGUGGCGAAGGCGGCUCUCUGGUCUGUAACUGACGCUGAGGCGCGAAAGCGUGGGGAGCAAACAGGAUUAGAUACCCUGGUAGUCCACGCCGUAAACGAUGAGUGCUAAGUGUCAGGGGGUUUCCGCCCCUUAGUGCUGCAGCAAACGCAUUAAGCACUCCGCCUGGGGAGUACGGCCGCAAGGCUGAAACUCAAAGGAAUUGACGG